CUUUUGCUGGCGACCGGCGCACGGGUGAGUAACACGUAUCCAACCUGCCCUUUACUCGGGGAUAGCCUUUCGAAAGAAAGAUUAAUACCCGAUGGUAUAAUCAGACCGCAUGGUCUUGUUAUUAAAGAAUUUCGGUUAUCGAUGGGGAUGCGUUCCAUUAGGCAGUUGGUGAGGUAACGGCUCACCAAACCUUCGAUGGAUAGGGGUUCUGAGAGGAAGGUCCCCCACAUUGGAGCUGAGACACGGUCCAA
rnacentral:rRNA from 1 species